rnacentral:lncRNA from 1 species
CCAUUUUUAAUUCAGAUAUUCUUGCAAAUUGUCAAGGAAACAAUGAUCUUUCCUCUUGAUUUCUUUCUCUAGAGAAACCUGUGGCAACUGCAGUGAUACACACCUAGCAGGAUGAAACCCAACUGUACUGUGGAUGUCCGUCGUCUGAAUGGAUUUUGUUGUUGCUCUGUAAGUGUUUAGCACUGUGGUGGAUGGAUCUCUGACAUACAAAGAGUGAGAAGAGAAAUGAGACACACCUGGAAGAGAGACAGCCUGGCAGGUGGAAAUAUGGAGUACGUCGCGUGUGUGUCACUGGGUGUCUUCCUUUGAGUGAAUAAGGAGAACAUCUUUGCUGC